GCCAAGCACCUUUUAGAUGCCAAAGUCACUUACAUGUCCCAUCAUAUCUUCAUCAAUUAAAACAUUGGUUGGCUUUAAAUCACAAUGAGCAAUUGGACUUGAGUAACCAUGGUGCAAAUAAUCUAAUGCACAUGCCACAUCGAUCAUUAUGUUUAAUCUUUGCAUGAUGUGCAACGAUUGCCUGUCAGAGUACAACCAGCUGUCUAAACUACCAUUAGGCAUGUACUCAAGUAUAAGUGCUUUAAAAUCCAUAUUAGAGCAAGCACUUAUCACCUUCGUGAGAUUUCUGUGCCGGAGAUUGCGCAAAACUU